rnacentral:rRNA from 1 species
AUUGAACGCUGGCGGCAUGCCUUACACAUGCAAGUCGAACGGUAACAGGUUAAGCUGACGAGUGGCGAACGGGUGAGUAAUAUAUCGGAACGUGCCCAGUCGUGGGGGAUAACGUAGCGUAAGCUACGCUAAUACCGCAUACGAUCUACGGAUGAAAGCGGGGGAUCGCAAGACCUCGCGCGAUUGGAGCGGCCGAUAUCAGAUUAGGUUGUUGGUGAGGUAAAAGCUCACCAAGCCUGCGGUCUGUAGCUGGUCUGAGAGGACGACCAGCCACACUGGAACUGAGACUCGGUCCAGACUCCUACGGGAGGCAGCAGUGGGGAAUUUUGGACAAUGGACGCAAGUCUGAUCCAGCAAUGCCGCGUGCAGGACGAAGGCCUUCGGGUUGUAAACUGCUUUUGUACGGAACGAAACGGUGAGCUCUAAUACAGUUUGCUAAUGACGGUACCGUAAGAAUAAGCACCGGCUAACUACGUGCCAGCCGCCGCGGUAA